rnacentral:rRNA from 1 species
UACGUAGGGUGCAAGCGUUGUCCGGAAUUAUUGGGCGUAAAGAGCUUGUAGGCGGUUUGUCGCGUCUGCUGUGAAAUUUCGGGGCUCAACCCCGAACUUGCAGUGGGUACGGGCAGACUAGAGUGUGGUAGGGGAGACUGGAAUUCCUGGUGUAGCGGUGAAAUGCGCAGAUAUCAGGAGGAACACCGAUGGCGAGGGCAGGUCUCUGGGCCAUAACUGACGCUGAGAAGCGAAAGCCAGGGGAGCAAACGGG